UAAUACGAAGGGUGCGAGCGUUAAUCGGAAUUACUGGGCGUAAAGCGCGCGUAGGUGGUUUGGUAAGCGAUAUGUGAAAUCCCCGGGCUCAACCUGGGAACUGCAUGUCGAACUGUCAGGCUAGAGUAUGGUAGAGGGGUGUGGAAUUUCCUGUGUAGCGGUGAAAUGCGUAGAUAUAGGAAGGAACAUCAGUGGCGAAGGCGACACCCUGGACCGAUACUGACACUGAGGCGCGAAAGCGUGGGUAGCGAACAGGAUUAGAUACCCUGGUAGUCCACGCCGUAAACGAUGUCAACUAGCCGUUGGGGGGCUUGUCCCUUCAGUGGCGGAGCUAACGCGAUAAGUUGACCGCCUGGGGAGUACGGCCGCAAGGUUA
rnacentral:rRNA from 1 species